AAACCAUCGAGGAAGCUGAACAACUUGUCCUUCUCAGACAUGUCCUGUAUGUCCAGCAUUAGUGCAGAAAAUUGUUUCACAUAGUCUCGGAUGGUGGUACUUUAGCGGAGUUGUCUCAACUUCCUUCUUGCAACGAACUCUGUGUUCUCCGGUAGGAACUGAGUUCUCAACUCCCGCUUCAAGUCCUCCCAUGUGUCGACUCGACACCGACCUUGUUGGAUCUCCUCCCAACGGGUUCGCCACCAAAGUUUUGCAUCUCCGUUCAGAUACAUUGUUGCUAUAGAAACUUUGGUACCUUCAGAAUCGGGCCUCGUAGCUCAGAAGCAUUGUUCCAUGUCGAACAGAAAGUUCUCGAGCUCUUUGGCAUCUCUGGCCCCUCCACAUCCAUGAGGCUCAGGUGCCCUCAAAUUUUGUGGCGGUGCAACGCGGGUGUUGCUUCCUCCCGCAUUUAGUGUUCUUGUGAGCAUGACCACCUUUGCAGUGAGUUCCGCCAUAACAUCCUG
rnacentral:lncRNA from 1 species